UACGGGGGGGGCAAGCGUUGUUCGGAAUUACUGGGCGUAAAGGGCUCGUAGGCGGCCAACUAAGUCGGACGUGAAAUCCCUCGGCUUAACCGGGGAACUGCGUCCGAUACUGGAUGGCUUGAGUUUGGGAGAGGGAUGCGGAAUUCCAGGUGUAGCGGUGAAAUGCGUAGAUAUCUGGAGGAAUACCGGUGGCGAAGGCGGCAUCCUGGACCGGCAUUGACGCUGAGUGAGCGAAAGCCAGGGGAGCAAACGGG
rnacentral:rRNA from 1 species